UAGGUUCUUCUUAUGGAAUUUUCUAUAGUUAAAAGAUGAACCCGGAAUUCUGACUGUUUGGUGUGGACAUGGGAGCUCAUCUGUAAGAUUUUGCAGGUGUGAGGCCUGCCAAAUUUUCAAUAUCAUGUAGUUUCCUGAAAGGAUAUAAGCAGCAUCAGCCUUUCUUCAGAUGGUGAAGAAAAAACCCUAUUAUUCUAUCAGUGACCUUUGGCAAGAAACUGCUCUCUUGAACUGUUCAUGUCUCUGGAGUGUUUGACUAAGGUUUCUUCUGGUCAGGUCAUCGACAAUCCAAAUGUCAGACAACAAUGUGGCCAUUUUUCAUCUUGAGGUGUUGAGAAUGAAGAAGACUGAGUGAAUGCUGAAAAAAAAAAAAAAGAUCUCAGGGACCUGUGGAUAAAUGGACUCUGGAAGUGUGACAGCACGUAUCACAACUUGAGGAAUGAUUUUGACCAUUGUCAGUGGAGUUACUCUGAAUCGCGGAUUUGGGACUUAGU